UUUAUUAGUGGGGGACAACAUCUCGAAAGGGAUGCUAAUACCGCAUACGUCCUACGGGAGAAAGCAGGGGAUCUUCGGACCUUGCGCUAAUAGAUGAGCCUAAGUCGGAUUAGCUAGUUGGUGGGGUAAAGGCCUACCAAGGCGACGAUCUGUAGCGGGUCUGAGAGGAUGAUCCGCCACACUGGGACUGAGACACGGCCCAGACUCCUACCGGAGGCAGCAGUGGGGAAUAUUGGACAAUGGGGGGAACCCUGAUCCAGCCAUGCCGCGUGUGUGAAGAAGGCCUUAUGGUUGUAAAGCACUUUAAGCGAGGAGGAGGCUACUUUAGUUAAUACCUAGAGAUAGUGGACGUUACUCGCAGAAUAAGCACCGGCUAACUCUGUGCCAGCAGCCGCGGUAAUACAGAGGGUGCGAGCGUUAAUCGGAUUUACUGGGCGUAAAGCGUGCGUAGGCGGCUUAUUAAGUCGGAUGUGAAAUCCCCGAGCUUAACUUGGGAAUUGCAUUCGAUACUGGUGAGCUAGAGUAUGGGAGAGGAUGGUAGAAUUCCAGGUGUAGCGGUGAAAUGCGUAGAGAUCUGGAGGAAUACCGAUGGCGAAGGCAGCCAUCUGGCCUAAUACUGACGCUGAGGUACGAAAGCAUGGGGAGCAAACAGGAUUAGAUACCCUGGUAGUCCAUGCCGUAAACGAUGUCUACUAGCCGUUGGGGCCUUUGAGGCUUUAGUGGCGCAGCUAACGCGAUAAGUAGACCGCCUGGGGAGUACGGUCGCAAGACUAAAACUCAAAUGAAUUGACGGGGGCCCGCACAAGCGGUGGAGCAUGUGGUUUAAUUCGAUGCAACGCGAAGAACCUUACCUGGCCUUGACAUACUAGAAACUUUCCAGAGAUGGAUUGGUGCCUUCGGGAAUCUAGAUACAGGUGCUGCAUGGCUGUCGUCAGCUCGUGUCGUGAGAUGUUGGGUUAAGUCCCGCAACGAGCGCAACCCUUUUCCUUACUUGCCAGCAUUUCGGAUGGGAACUUUAAGGAUACUGCCAGUGACAAACUGGAGGAAGGCGGGGACGACGUCAAGUCAUCAUGGCCCUUACGGCCAGGGCUACACACGUGCUACAAUGGUCGGUACAAAGGGUUGCUACACAGCGAUGUGAUGCUAAUCUCAAAAAGCCGAUCGUAGUCCGGAUUGGAGUCUGCAACUCGACUCCAUGAAGUCGGAAUCGCUAGUAAUCGCGGAUCAGAAUGCCGCGGUGAAUACGUUCCCGGGCCUUGUACACACCGCCCGUCACACCAUGGGAGUUUGUUGCACCAGAAGUAGCUAGCCUAACUGCAAAGAGGGCGGUUACCACGGUGUGGCCGAUGACUG
rnacentral:rRNA from 1 species